GACGAACGCUGGCGGCGUGCUUAACACAUGCAAGUCGAGCGGUAAGGCCCUUUCGGGGGUACGACGAGCGGCGAACGGGUGAGUAACACGUGGGUGACCUGCCCUCAGCUCUGGGAUAAGCCUGGGAAACUGGGUCUAAUACUGGAUAUGACUCCACGGUGCAUGUCGUGGGGUGGAAAGCCUUGUGCGGCUGAGGAUGGGCCCGCGGCCUAUCAGCUUGUUGGGG
rnacentral:rRNA from 1 species